CGGGACACGUGGUAUCCUGUCUGAAUAUGGGGGGACCAUCCUCCAAGGCUAAAUACUCCUGACUGACCGAUAGUGAACCAGUACCGUGAGGGAAAGGCGAAAAGAACCCCGGCGAGGGGAGUGAAAAAGAACCUGAAACCGUGUACGUACAAGCAGUGGGAGCACGCUUAGGCGUGUGACUGCGUACCUUUUGUAUAAUGGGUCAGCGACUUAUAUUCUGUAGCAAGGUUAACCGAAUAGGGGAGCCGAAGGGAAACCGAGUCUUAACUGGGCGUUAAGUUGCAGGGUAUAGACCCGAAACCCGGUGAUCUAGCCAUGGGCAGGUUGAAGGUUGGGUAACACUAACUGGAGGACCGAACCGACUAAUGUUGAAAAAUUAGCGGAUGACUUGUGGCUGGGGGUGAAAGGCCAAUCAAACCGGGAGAUAGCUGGUUCUCCCCGAAAGCUAUUUAGGUAGCGCCUCGUGAAUUCAUCUCCGGGGGUAGAGCACUGUUUCGGCAAGGGGGUCAUCCCGACUUACCAACCCGAUGCAAACUGCGAAUACCGGAGAAUGUUAUCACGGGAGACACACGGCGGGUGCUAACGUCCGUCGUGAAGAGGGAAACAACCCAGACCGCCAGCUAAGGUCCCAAAGUCAUGGUUAAGUGGGAAACGAUGUGGGAAGGCCCAGACAGCCAGGAUGUUGGCUUAGAAGCAGCCAUCAUUUAAAGAAAGCGUAAUAGCUCACUGGUCGAGUCGGCCUGCGCGGAAGAUGUAACGGGGCUAAACCAUGCACCGAAGCUGCGGCAGCGACACUAUGUGUUGUUGGGUAGGGGAGCGU
rnacentral:rRNA from 1 species